CCCGCCGUAGCUCAGUAGUAGAGCGCCCGGCUGUAGAUAGGGGCGCGGGGACCGGGUGGUCCGGGGUUCAAGUCCCCGCGGCGGGA
rnacentral:tRNA from 1 species